UUUAAUUAAUUCUUGAUGGUAAAUUGGAUAAGUUUUAUGGCUUAGGAGUUGGCAAUUUCAUGAGUUGAUGAUGUUUGAUAGCUUAAAAAUUGGUGUUGUUAUAAAUGAAACAUUGGAUAGGAAAUUGACUAAAGUAUUUGGCCAUGAUAAAUGUUAGGUGUAUAAGAGUUCAAAUGAUAAUUACAUGCUCUGAUUAAGAGUCAUUGGGGCUGAAUUGGAGUUGAAUUUGAUUGAGUAUGUUGAAUGAAAACUUGGAUGGAAAAAUAAUGGUAGUAUUCGGCCUAGGUAUGAAAACCAUGUUCAAAUGGGUUUGAAAAUAUUUUAAUCAUGGAUUUCAAGUGUCUAUUGGUGUGUAUGGGGGUCUGGCUUGUGUUGAUAUGAAAGCACGAUGUCGAUUAAGGUUUUAGUCUCGACGCAAACUAGUUUGACGUUUUGCACAAAAUUAUUGUGCAAAACAGCCUUAGUGCGAGGGUCAUAUCUUGAGUUGUGUAACUCCAAAUUGAGCUCCGUUUGUUGGUAAGAAAACUUUAAGAUGUUGUCUAUAAGUUUCUAAGUUUAAGGUUUUUCUAAUUAUGCCUCUAAGAUGUUCAUUUAGAGCAGAACAUUUUGUUGUGCAGUCAGCCCUGCAGUUUAAAACAGCCCCAAGGAAAUAAUUUAUGGGCUAGUUUCCGACACCUUCGAGUGCUAAUCUUAGUCCGAGACCUAAAUAAAAGUUGUAGGCGACAUUCUGAACUUUAAGAAUGUAAUUUUGUUUAGGGGUCGGACUGUUUUAAGUAAACGAUUUCGAUAGCCGAAGUUGGCUAGAAAUCUAGUUUUGGAUAAAUUCAUUAUUGCUAGAUUUUCAUUAAUUCGAGAUAUUAUCGACUUUGCGUAGGCCUAGAGAGGCGACUACCAACGGGAACCGGAACGUAUAGAACACGACAUCGCUAUGCUGUUAUUGAAGCGUGUGGAUAGCAAGUGUACUUAGACUUGGAGUGACUAGAAGUCUAUCGUUUUGCCGGGAGUCUGUCUUGCCAUGUACAGUCCGACUUCCGUGACCGCUGCAGUAGUACAUUGUGUGACCAGUCAUGACCUAGGACAAUAUUAUAGUUUUGGAAAAUGUUUAUAUCGAUGUUAGAUUUACGUAGCCAGUGUUUACAAAAUAACUAUUAAUGUUUUCAUAAUUAAAUGCUUCCGUGUUAUAACAUAAUUGCGAAAAAUUUAUAGUGAAUUUCAGGCUUGCUACGGGA